GGUAAAUCAAGCCUGAAAUUAAAUGAAGGGNCUAAUUUNCUAGAGUUACUUAUGAGGGGGUAUUAAAGUACUGCNGGGGUAGNGAUGAAAUUCUGUCAUACCUCUUUUCAAUAGAAAAAUAANGGCCCAGGNAUAGGGGAAAGCAUCCCCUUAUGUGAUAACUGACGUUGAGGGACGAAGGCUUUGUGUAGCGAACAGGAUUAGAUACCCCCGUAGUCAAAGCCGAAAAUGAUGAAUGUCAUAGAUUAGAUAAAUAAGUUUAUUYUAUAAAUGAAAGKGUAAGCMUUCCCCCUCAAGAGUAAUUUGGCAACAUUGGAACUGAAAUCAUUAGACCGUUUYUGAAACCAGUAGUGAAGUAUGUUGUUUAAUUUGAUGAUCCSCAAAAAACCUUCCCCCAAUUUGAAUAUUUAUAUCUAWNAUUGUUUUUUUUUUUAUUUAUUUUCUCCUGAUUUGAUUUUUCUAAAGAAAAAAGAAAAGAGGCGAUAUGAUAUAUUUACAAGCGUUGCACGGCUGUCUUCAGUUAAUGUCGCGAGACUUUGGUUAGUUUCAUUAAAUUMACGUAAACCCKUACUUUAUUUUUAUAUAGAGUAGUUCCCCGCCUAUAUGGAUAUGA
rnacentral:rRNA from 1 species